GAUGAACGCUAGCGGCAGGCUUAACACAUGCAAGUCGAGGGGUAGAAGUUGCUUGCAACUUUGAGACCGGCGCACGGGUGCGUAACGCGUAUGCAACCUACCUUUUACAGGGGGAUAGCCCAGAGAAAUUUGGAUUAAUACCCCAUGGUAUAAUUGGAUGGCAUCAUUUGAUUAUUAAAGUUCCAACGGUAAAAGAUGGGCAUGCGUCCUAUUAGCUAGGUGGUAAGGUAACGGCUUACCAUGGCUACGAUAGGUAGGGGUCCUGAGAGGGAGAUCCCCCACACUGGUACUGAGACACGGACCAGACUCCUACGGGAGGCAGCAGUGAGGAAUAUUGGACAAUGGGCGCAAGCCUGAUCCAGCCAUGCCGCGUGCAGGAAGAAGCAUCUAUGGUGUGUAAACUGCUUUUGUACGGGAAGAAACACUCCCUCGUGAGGGAGCUUGACGGUACCGUAAGAAUAAGGAUCGGCUAACUCCGUGCCAGCAGCCGCCGUAACAC
rnacentral:rRNA from 1 species